rnacentral:rRNA from 1 species
ACACGGCAUGACACACUGCAUAUCAAUAAGCGGAGGAAAAGAAACUAACAAGGAUUCCCUUAGUAACGGCGAGUGAAGCGGGAAGAGCUCAAAUUUGAAAUCUUCAAGGUUCUACCUUGACGAAUUGUAGUUUAUAGAAGUGUUUUCUGUUAGUAGAGUGGCAAAAGUUCUUUGGAAUAGGACAUCAUAGAGGGUGAGAAUCCCGUAUUUGGUCAUUCUUUCUAGCUUUGUGAUACACUUUCAACGAGUCGGAUUGUUUGGGAAUGCAGUCCAAAAUGGGUGGUAAAUUUCAUCUAAAGCUAAAUAUUGGCGAGAGACCGAUAGCGAACAAGUACCGUGAGGGAAAGAUGAAAAGAACUUUGAAAAGAGAGUUAAACAGUACGUGAAAUUGUCAAAAGGGAAGCGUUUGACACCAGUGUUGUUUUUCCGAAAAUCAAUUACGAAUGUUUUGUUUUUAAGAAGUUAUGACUUCAUCGGCUUGCUUCUUUCUUUAUGAAACUUUCUUAAUGCACUUUUCGGUUAACAAGUCAACAUCAAUUUCUUUUGUCGUAAAAGGGUAUGAGGAAGGUGGCUUUCUUUUCGGAGAAAGUGUUUAUAGCCUUUGUACCUUCUGCAAUCGGAGAGAUUGAGGUCUGCAGCGUAGAUCCUUCGGGGUUAGAUACAUUUGUGCUAAGUUAUAGCCUUUUCAUAGACAACUUGUUGACUAUGAUCAGUCAUGUAGCUUACUCGCUUAUGCUAUUUUACCUACGCUUAGGAUGUUGAGCGCAUGUCUCUCUCU